rnacentral:rRNA from 1 species
AACGAACGCUGGCGGCGCGUCUUAAGCAUGCAAGUCGGACGGCAAGGCGGGAGCUUGCUCCUGCCCUAGAGUGGCGGACUGGUGAGUAACACGUGGGUGACAUGCCUUGAGGACGGGGAUAGCCGGUAGAAAUAUCGGACAAUACCGGAUAAGCUCGCAUCUGUUAGAGGGGUGUGAGGAAAGGGGCUACGGCCCCGCCUUAAGAGUGGCCCGCGGCCCAUUAUGCUAGUUGGCGGGGUAACGGCCCACCAAGGCUCUGAUGGGUAUCCGGCCUAAGAGGGUGAACGGACACAUUGGGACUGAGAUACGGCCCAGACUCCUACGGGAGGCAGCAGCUAAGAAUAUUCCGCAAUGGGCGAAAGCCUGACGGAGCGACGCCGCGUGGAUGAAGAAGGCCGUGAAGUUGUAAAGUCCUUUUGAACCUGAAGAAUAAGCUGUGGAGGGAAUGCUACAGUGGUGACGGUAGGGUUUGAAUAAGC